UACUAGAGUAGCACUCGCAUAUCAAUAAGCGGAGGAAAAGAAACUAACAAGGAUUCCCCUAGUAACGGCGAGUGAAGGCGGGAAGAGCUCAAAUUUGAAAUCUUAAAGGGUUUCCCUUUACGAAUUGUAGUUUAAAGAAGUGUUUUCUGUUGAGGUUUAGGUAAAAGUUCUUUGGAAUAGGACAUCAUAGAGGGUGAGAAUCCCGUAUUUGACCUUUACUUUCAACUUUGUGAUACACUUUCAAAGAGUCGGAUUGUUUGGGAAUGCAGUCCAAAAUGGGUGGUAAAUUUCAUCUAAAGCUAAAUAUUGGCGAGAGACCGAUAGCGAACAAGUACCGUGAGGGAAAGAUGAAAAGAACUUUGAAAAGAGAGUUAAACAGUACGUGAAAUUGUCAAAAAGGGAAGCGUUUGACACCAGUGUUGUUUUUCUGAAAAUCAAUUAAAGAACUGUUUAUGCUAAGUUGUUUAGACUUUAUCAGCUAUCUGUUUAGUUUUAGGCUUUUCUUUAAUGCACUUUUCAGUUAACAAGUCAACAUCAAUUUCUUUUGCUGUAAAAAAGCUUGAGGAAGGUGGCUUGAGAUUCGUCUUAAGUGUUUAUAGCCUCUUGCCUAUGCAGUCGGAGAGAUUGAGGUCUGCAGCGUAGAUCCUUCGGGGCUAAAUGCAUUUGUGCUAAGUUAUAGCAUUUUAUAGACAACUUGUUGACUAUGAUUUGUCUUGUAGCUUACUCGCUUAUGUUAUUUUACCUACGCUUAGGAUGUUGAGCGCAUGUCUCUCUCU
rnacentral:rRNA from 1 species